GUGGGUUUUGGAAAAAUAAGUUUUGUGUUAUGUGUGGGGCAGUUAGAUGGGUUCAUCAUACUUGUUUUGAUAUGGGUAGGUCAAAAGGUCAAGCCGCAUAAUAGAUUUAUAGCCUUUUUUAACAUUAAAAAAAUAGUAUAAAAUCAAAAGGUGGGUUUUUGGAAAAAAAUAAGCUUUGUGUUAUGUGUGGGGCAGUUAGCUGAGUUCACCAGAUGUGUUUUGAUAUGGGUAGGUCAAUAGGUCAAGCCGCAUAAUAGAUUUAUAGCCUUUUUUAACAUUAAAAAAAUUGUAUAAAAUCAAAAGGUGGGUUUUUGGAAAAAAGAAGCUUGGUGUUAUGUGUGGGGCAGUUAGCUGAGUUCACCAGAUGUGUUUUGAUAUGGGUAGGUCAAAAGGUCAAGCCGCAUAAUAGAUUUAUAGCCUUUUUUAACAUUAAAAAAGGCUAUGUUGUUUUUUUUAAAGAAAUAAGCUUUCUUUUACAUAGGUAGGCCUUGUAUUAACACAUCUAAGUUGGUUUGAC
ensembl:lncRNA